GUUUGGUUCCAGGCCUAGUAGUGACCCCCAAGCUUCCUGAAUGUGCCUGCGUGUAUCACAAAAUACUCCGUGGAAAGAGGGAAGCUUUGCUGCUGAGAUGCUCCGUUUCAAAUAAGGAUGCUAUGAACAUUGAACACUUUGCUUUGCUGCCUCCUCCAAAACAACAAUAGAUAUACAGUUCAGAUAGCCGUGUCUCAUCCUGGCCUGUUUCCUGCUCUUGUAAAGUAGGGAAAAUAAUUGUACUUAUUUCACAAGACUACUGU